rnacentral:rRNA from 1 species
GACGGGUGAGGAGCGCGUAGGAACGUAUCCAAGGGUGGGGGACAACCGCGGGAAACUGCGGCUAAGACCGCAUGGGGCCUGAGGGCCAAAGCCGGGAGACUGGCGCCUAUGGAGCGGCCUGCGUCCGAUUAGCUUGUUGGUGGGGUAACGGCCUACCAAGGCGGUGAUCGGUAGCUGGUCUGAGAGGAUGAUCAGCCACACUGGGACUGAGACACGGCCCAGACUCCUACGGGAGGCAGCAGUGGGGAAUAUUGGACAAUGGGCGCAAGCCUGAUCCAGCAAUGCCGCGUGGGUGAAGAAGGUCUUCGGAUUGUAAAGCCCUUUCGGCGGGGACGAUGAUGACGGUACCCGCAGAAGAAGCCCCGGCUAACUUCGUGCCAGCAGCCGCGGUAAU